UCCGGUGCCGCCGAACGCGGCCUAACAGGGAAUCCGGUGAGAAUCCGGAACAAUACCCGUUGCUGUAUUUCCCAUAUCCGCCCAAGGGCGGGGUCUUGCGCAUCAUGCCACUGCCUGCAGGCGGGAAGGCGCGGAAGACGGGAUAAGCCAGAAGACCUGCCGGGAUGCAU
rnacentral:ncRNA from 1 species